AACAAAUUGAAAGAAGAAAAAUGUUUCAUGACAUAUGGGAAAUAUAGGCAGUUCCGUUUUCAGUGUUUCUAAAUACAAUUUCAUUGGAUACGACUCCGCCCAUCCGUCUGCAGAUUGUUCCUUGUGGCUUUUGUUCUCCGCCACACAGAGUAGGGUACUUGCGAUGGAGACCAAAUGGCCCCCAGCCUGAAAUACUGGCUGCCCGGCCCUUUGCAGAAGUCGAUUGCUGACUCCCGUGUCAAACUUAUGGCAGAACUGGAAUGACUUCAACCCUGUAAAGAUGCCACAUAUAAGUGACAUCGUAUGAUGUCUAACUUUGAGAAAGAGACUCAGAAUUUUGAGCCAGAAGAAAUGGGGAGAACACACGGAGCCCCACGGAGAUGGGGCCAGAUCCUCCCCUUCUUUCAUCGAAGGCUCUGGAGCCGCUGAACCCGCCCCUGCCUCUCACCUUGAUCCCACAGUGCGCAGGCGCCCUCCAACCCGCCACUCCGGGCCAUCCGCCACAACUGUGUGGCGCGAAGAGGUGGCCACACUGCCCUCUUGCCGGAAGCCCUCCUGGGGUUCCCAACAGUCCAUGAAAGGUUGCAGCAAUUUGCCAGGCUCGGACAUUAUGAGAAAAUUCACAGUCACAUUAAAGCUCACGUGAUAACAACGGCAAAACUCCACGGCACAUUCUUUUUACCUACUAGGAGAAAAUCGUCUGUUACUGAUGUGUUAACAAUCAUGUCUUUGAUUACUAUUAAGAUUGCAUUUUUUUUAAUAUUUUUUUUUAAUUUUCCCACUGUACAGCAAGGGGGUCAGGUUAUCCUUACAUGUAUACAUUACAAUUACAUUUUUCCCCCACCCUUUCUUCUGUUGCAACAUGAGUAUCUAGACAUAGUUAAGAUUGCAUUUUUAUUUCACUUUUUUCUUUAUAUGCAAAUCUCUUAUAAGCUACCUUUUGGACAUGCUUUUUUGGGGGGAUGGUGUUUAUUUUUCCUUAU
rnacentral:lncRNA from 1 species